GUCAUUAUUAUUAACUAUAGCAUUUCGGCGGCCUCUGUUUAUAUACUUGAUUAGUGUUCACUCUUACUCUAGCCUCUAUCACAGAUAACAUGGGUCCAUAUCUGUCCACCAAGAAGUGACCUUUCCCUACUGGACUCAAAUACAGGAUGUCAGGAGAUAAGCCAUCCAAUUCAGAAGUCAAGCAACUUGCCCGAGGUCACCCAGUGGGUUAGGAUGGGAGGCAAGGUUCAAAUCCACGACUAUCUACAGAGCCCAGACCGUCAGCCAAUCUGUUUUACCGCAUGGUCUUCGUUAACCAUUGUUAUACUGUC